rnacentral:rRNA from 1 species
GUGGGGAAUAUUGGACAAUGGGCGAAAGCCUGAUCCAGCCAUGCCGCGUGAGUGAUGAAGGCCUUAGGGUUGUAAAGCUCUUUCAGUAGGGAAGAUAAUGACGGUACCUACAGAAGAAGCCCCGGCUAACUUCGUGCCAGCAGCCGCGGUAAUACGUAGGGGGCGAGCGUUGCUCGGAUUGACUGGGCGUAAAGCGCGCGUAGGCGGUCCAUUAAGUGUGCGGUGAAAUUCGGAGGCUCAACCUCCGUCCCGCCGCGCAAACUGAUGGUCUUGAGAUUGGGAGGGGGAUGCGGAAUUCCUGGUGUAGCGGUGAAAUGCAUUGAUAUCAGGAGGAACACCGGCGGCGAAAGCGGCAUCCUGGCUUAUAUCUGACGCUGAGGCGCGAAAGCGUGGGUAGCAAACGGGAUUAGAAACCCGUGUAGUCC